ACGGAAGGCAGCAGUGAGGAAUAUUGGUCAAUGGGCGAGAGCCUGAACCAGCCAAGUCGCGUGAAGGAAGAAGGUUCUAUGGAUUGUAAACUUCUUUUGUCUGAGGGUAAAGUGAGAGAUGCGUCUCUUAUUGCAAGUAUCAGACGAAUAAGCAUCGGCUAACUCCGUGCCAGCAGCCGCGGUAAUACGUAGGGAGCAAGCGUUAUCCGGAAUUACUGGGUGUAAAGGGAGUGUAGGCGGGACUGUAAGUCAGAUGUGAAAUAUGCCGGCUCAACUGGCAGACUGCAUUUGAAACUGCGGUUCUUGAGUGAAGUAGAGGUAAGCGGAAUUCCUAGUGUAGCGGUGAAAUGCGUAGAUAUUAGGAGGAACAUCAGUGGCGAAGGCGGCUUACUGGGCUUUAACUGACGCUGAGGCUCGAAAGCGUGGGGAGCAAACAGGAUUAGAUACCCUGGUA
rnacentral:rRNA from 1 species